AUUGAACGCUGGCGGCAUGCUUUACACAUGCAAGUCGAACGGCAGCACGGGGGGGUAACUCUCUGGUGGCGAGUGGCGAACGGGUGAGUAAUGCAUCGGAACGCGUCCUGUAAUGGGGGAUAACCUGCCGAAAGGUGGGCUAAUACCGCAUACGUCCUGAGGGAGAAAGCGGGGGAUUGGCAACGACCUCGCGUUACAGGAGCGGCCGAUGUCGGAUUAGCUAGUUGGUGGGGUAAAGGCCCACCAAGGCGACGAUCCGUAGCUGGUCUGAGAGGAUGAUCAGCCACACUGGGACUGAGACACGGCCCAGACUCCUACGGGAGGCAGCAGUGGGGAAUAUUGCACAAUGGGCGAAAGCCUGAUGCAGCGACGCCGCGUGAGGGAUGACGGCCUCGG
rnacentral:rRNA from 1 species